AAUUAUAGAGUACGAGCAAUAAUUAAUAGUAUAUAUUUACAUCAAAAUUAUAAAGAUUUGAUUUAUUAUAUGUUCGAUAUUAACAAAAAAAAAAAAUUAUAGUCAUAGUUAAACCAAACUAGCUCACACAAACAACUAACUACGUACUUAAGAUCUCAUCUGUAAAAAAAAACAAAAACAUGGACUAUAAACUCUCGAUGUCAAACAAGGCAAAAGUAUAGUUUAAUUAAAUUAAUAAAUUUAUGAUGAAUCGCCGGGGCAUUGCCCGGCCGAAUAACUAGUUUAUAAUUAAGUAUCUACGGAGCAUUAGAGUACUCGUGAAAAAAAAAAAUAAUAAAUAAAUAAAAAUUCUUAUGGAGUAUCAAAGAGGGCAAGUUAGGCAUUCCCUCUUAUUAUCAAUUUGUCAACUACGUAUAUGAGGGGCCUAUUGUCGGUUUCUCCCUCCCCACUCAAAACUGAAGAACCCUAAAAUCCUCCCAAAUUGAUUGCUGCUCGAAUUUCCCAAAUUGAUUGCUGCUCACUUGCUCGAAUGCUCACAAAUUGAUUGAUGUUCGAAUUGCUUCCAAUUGGGAUGAAGCCUAAUUCGCCUAAAUCGAACGUCUCAGGCCUUGUGUUUUUGAAUGAUUGUGAAGUCCUGCUGUUCAUGGAGAUGUUGAGGAGGAUGCUGAUUCUAAUUUUUAUCAGAAUGAUGAACUUAAUACUGCACUUUAUUGGAGGAAAAAAAAUCUCAUACCAGAAAAGAUGAUACUUCCUGAGAAUUUGGCGUGCCUCCCUUGGGUUAUAUAGCCUGGAAAGAGAGAGAGUUAAUGGAUGGAAGAUGAAGAAGGAGAAGAAUGUUGUACCUGCUAAUAGUACUCGUCCUCCAUAUGAAAGAGAUGCUGAUGAUGUAGCCACUACUAUUUUAGAUGAGUGUUUACUGAAUGAGGAAGCUAGGCACCCGCUGUCUAGAAAGGUCCCCAUCCACCAUCUCAAUUUUUAACUUCUAACUUAAUUAUAUUGUGUAUGCAUAUGAUGGGAUAAACAAAUUGAAGGAGCAAAGAGAUCAAGGUUCAAAUGAGAAAACGGAUGAACAAAUCAUUCAAGAAGUGUUUGGCAAAGAUACACACGAGUACUUGAAAGCUUAUGGCCUAGUAGAAGUAUUACAAAACAUUUCAAAGUAAAGCCUUCACGAUUAAAUCUUUCUCAAGAGGUAAUUGAAGUUAAAAAGAAAGCAGAUCAAGCAAUUGAAGAAGUAAAAAAAGAUGCUGAAAAUGCUAGAACAGAAGCUGAACAAGCAAAAAAAAAAAGUGGAAACCGUUAGGAAUGAUGUGGACCGAAAAAUUGUAGAGAACAACGUAGUUUGGGAGAAAAAUUCAGCCAAUUUCUGGAUAUUAUUAUUGGAGCAUGGGGUUCGUUGAAUAAUGAUGAUUUAGGAAGUGAAGGUUCGUCCUCUUUUAAUUCCCAUUUUCUCUCUCUUUGCUUUUUUCCAUUGAAUUUCUUUUCUCUUCUAUCUUAAUUUUUUUAACUUCUCCAUCCAUAAAAGCUGGAGAACCACUGAGCUAUGAAUACAAGUAUAAAUGUCUCUUCUCCAAUAUCAGUAUAGUCAUCUUUUUUGCUUUGACUUGACAAUAAUCUGCUGUGUGCCCUAGACAUCGACAUGAUUAUUGCACAUUAAUUUUGUUUCUUUUAUGAGACUCGAGUGAAUUGAGUUCCAUUGGAGUUGUGGUUUCUGUAAAUAUUUCUAUAGAGGUAUAUUGGUGCUUACAUGGCUAAAUUGUGAAUAGACCCAGAUAGCUAACUGUUAUAGACUCACUCACUCAACAAUAGACGUUUGAUUGAUAAUUGAACAAAGUUCCAAGUUACCAAAAAGUGAAAGUUUUAUUCUGAAAGUUCUCACUAAGUAGAAGAGUAAAAUUAUAUUAUGUAAGUUUUGAAUCAGUGGAUUGUCUUGAUUUGGUGUGUUAUAUGUCUCUAAUGCUCUGACUUGGGCCCACAACCUCGUUGUACUAAUGUCGACACGACACAUCCACGGUUGUGGGUACAGAAUCCAAGUAGGACUCUCAGGAGAGAAAGUGGACUCAUCAGUGAGCUAUCUUAGAGGGGAGCUUUACUCAAUGAAGGAAAAUUUGAAACUAUUAAGGGACAGGGAUAGUAUACCUGUAUUACUUUGCCUCCCACAGUUCGUUUUAUAUAUUCAAUUAUCUGCAAGGUGUAGGGAAAAAAAGACUUAGUUUACAAAAUGAUUUGUGUGUGUGUGUGUGUUUUUUUGAUGAGAUUGGUUAUUGUAUUUUACUAAAUUAUAUAUAUUUUUCUUUUGCGAAA